rnacentral:rRNA from 1 species
GAUGAACGCUGGCGGCGUGCCUAAUACAUGCAAGUCGAGCGAACGGACGAGAAGCUUGCUUCUCUGAUGUUAGCGGCGGACGGGUGAGUAACACGUGGAUAACCUACCUAUAAGACUGGGAUAACUUCGGGAAACCGGAGCUAAUACCGGAUGAUCUUUUGAACCGCAUGGUUCAAAAGUGAAAGACGGUCUUGCUGUCACUUAUAGAUGGAUCCGCGCUGCAUUAGCUAGUUGGUAAGGUAACGGCUUACCAAGGCAACGAUGCAUAGCCGACCUGAGAGGGUGAUCGGCCACACUGGAACUGAGACACGGUCCAGACUACUACGGGAGGCAGCAGUAGGGAAUCUUCCGCAAUGGGCGAAAGCCUGACGGAGCAACGCCGCGUGAGUGAUGGAGGUCUUCGGAUCGUAAAACUCUGUUAUUAGGGAAGAACAUAUGUGUAAGUAACUGUGCACAUCUUGACGGUACCUAAUCAGAAAGCCACGGCUAACUACGUG